GUGAGUCAUCGAAUCUUUGAACGCACCUUGCGCCCUCUGGUACUCCGGAGGGCAUGCCUGUCUGAGUGUCGUGAAGACUCGAUCCCGGGUUAAACCGUGAUCGGACUUGGGCGUUGCCUCUGGCUCGCCUCAAAUGCCUUAGCCGUGUGACGUGAUAGGUCUUCGUCCGAACGGCUCUAAACCCAUCUCGACUUUGACCUCAGAUCAGGUAGGACUACCCGCUGAACUUAAGCAUAUCAAUAAGCGGAGGA
rnacentral:misc_RNA from 1 species